UACGAAGGGCCCGAGCGUUGCGCGGAAUCACUGGGCUUAAAGCGUACGUAGGCGGGCGCGCAGGCGUCUUGUGAAAUCCCUCGGCUCAACCGAGGAACUGCUUGACGAACCGCGCGCCUUGAGUCAGGUAGGGGCUGUCGGAACGAUAGGUGGAGUGGUGAAAUGCGUUGAUAUCUAUCGGAACGCCUAAGGAGAAAUAAGGCAGCUGGGCCUGUAAUGACGAUGAGGUACGAAAGCGUGGGGAGCGAACGGG
rnacentral:rRNA from 1 species